rnacentral:rRNA from 1 species
UACGUAGGCAGCAAGCGUUGUUCGGAAUUACUGGGCGUAAAGAGUGUGUAGGCGGUUUUCUAAGUUUGGUGUGAAAUCUCCCGGCUUAACUGGGAGGGUGCGCCGAAAACUGGAAGGCUUGAGUAUGGGAGAGGUAAGCGGAAUUCCUGGUGUAGCGGUGAAAUGCGUAGAUAUCAGGAGGAACACCUGUGGUGUAGACAGCUUACUGGACCAUGACUGACGCUGAGGCACGAAAGCGUGGGGAGCAAACAGG